UUAAUUUAAUGUCAAACCAGAAAAAUAGGGUUUAAGGAAGGAGGCGGAGAGAAGAACGGAAAACGCCUCAAAGAGCAAAGCUCACACUGAGACUCGGUGCUUACUAGUGUCGAUAGAAACUAAUAAUCGAUGGGGAAGAAGAUGAAUAGAGAUCAAAAUACAGAACUCUCAGAUUCCUCUCGGAUUUGGGCCUCCAAGUUCCUCAAGGAGUUUCGCGCCUCCGGGAGAGAUUCUCACACAUUUGAUAACAGUCUCACGAACGACGUACGUGGCAUUAUCCAUCAGAUGUGCCGGAAGAUGGGUAUCCGAUCGAAAAGUUCCGGGAAAGGGGAUCAAAGGCGUCUUACGAUUUUCAAACGUGCACCUCGCCCCUCUUCAGUUUCCGGGAGUGAGAAGAAGAAGCUCAAGCGUGUCUCGUUUCCACCGGAGGCGGAACCUAUUCUUCAGGAUUUGUUUACUCGCUAUCCGCCUUGUGACGGAGAUACUAGAGCGACGUCACUGGGCGUAUAUACUGGACAUUUCGGGAGACAACGCAAGUGGAAAGAUGACUUCUUUGGCAAACCUCAGAUGAACAAAGAUGAUGUUCGAAACAAGGCGGCGUCUCUGAGUUCUAGAUUGGCAAACGACAAAGAUUUUCGGGAGAUCUUUGGAGCACGAACCAAGCUUCCCAUCGCAUCCUUUAGAGAGGCCAUCACAUCUGCAGUGGAAUCUAAUCAGGUUGUUCUUAUUGCUGGUGAAACUGGUUGUGGCAAAACUACUCAGGUGCCUCAAUAUCUUCUAGACCAUAUGUGGUAUAGUAAGCGAGAAUCUUGCAAAAUCAUUUGCACCCAACCACGUCGUAUCUCAGCUAUUUCAGUUUCUGAACGAAUUUCUUGGGAAAGAGGUGAAUCUAUAGGGAACAACGUCGGCUACAAGGUGCGGCUGAACAGCAAAGGUGGAAGACAGUCAUCAGUUGUUUUCUGUACGAAUGGCAUUCUGUUGAGGGUGCUUGUAGGCAAAGGCGGUGGUAGCUGUGUUCCUGAUAUAACUCACAUUAUUGUGGAUGAAAUUCAUGAAAGGGAUUGCUACUCUGAUUUCAUGUUGGCCAUUAUAAGGGACUUCCUUCCUUCAAAUCCUCAUCUCCGACUGAUUCUAAUGAGUGCUACUCUUGAUGCCGAGAGGUUUUCUGAAUAUUUCGGAGGUUGUCCGGUUGUCCAAGUGCCUGGAUUCACUUAUCCAGUGAGAACCUUUUAUCUGGAAGAUGUGCUCUCUGUCCUGAAAUCAGAGAAGAAUCAUCAUCUAAUUUCUGACGACUCGAGCAUACCAGAUGUCAAGCGUGAUAUUAAAGAUGAAGAUGAAGUUGCUUUAGACGAAGCAAUUGAAAUGGCGUGGACAAAUGACGAGUUUGAAGCUCUCUUAGAUCUGGUUUCCUCCGAAGGAAGUCAUGAGGUUUACAAUUACAGGCAAUCAUCAACCUGGCUAACACCACUUAUGGUCUUUGCUGGAAAGGGCAGGGUUAACAAUGUCUGUAAGCUCCUCGCACUUGGCGCUGACUGUAAGUUGAAGUCCAAGGAAGGUAUGACAGCACUAGAAUUGGCCGAAAAAGAGAAGCAAUUUGAAGCUGCUCAAAUAAUCAGGGAACAUACCGAUAACGUCCAGUCCAAUUCUCAGCAAGAACAAGUCUUACUUGAUAAGUAUAUGGCGACAAUCAAUCCAGAAGAAGUAGACGUGGGUCUUAUAGUGAAUUUAAUGAGGAAAUUAUGCCGCGACUCAGAAGCUGGUGCCGUUCUUGUUUUUCUACCUGGGUGGGAGGAAAUAAGUAAAACGAAAGAGAGAUUGCUUGCUAAUCCUUAUUUUGCAGAUAGUGCUAAAUACAACAUCAUAUGUCUACACUCAAGGGUUCCGGUAGAGGAACAGAAGAGAGUUUUUAAACGUCCCCCUCAAGGUUGUCGCAAAAUCGUGCUUGCAACAAAUAUUGCUGAAUCAGCAGUCACUAUCGAUGAUGUGGUUUAUGUGAUAGAUAGUGGGCGGAUGAAGGAAAAGAGCUAUGAUCCUUAUAAUGACGUGUCAACGCUAGAAUCUUCUUGGGUUUCAAAAGCGAAUGCAAAACAGCGGGAGGGUCGAGCAGGCCGGUGCCAACCUGGAAUUUGUUAUCAUCUCUAUUCUAAACUUCGGGCAGCCUCUUUACCUGAAUAUAGAAUCCCUGAAGUUAGGAGGAUGCCAGUAGAUGAACUCUGCUUGCAGGUUAAGAUGCUGGAUCCGAGUUGCAAUGUAAAUGAUUUCCUCCAGAAAUUGAUGGACCCGCCUGUUGAUCGAAGCAUUGCAAAUGCCUUAACCACCCUUAAAGACAUUGGAGCAUUGACACCACAAGAAGAGCUGACAGAACUUGGACAGAAAUUUGGCCAGCUUCCAGUUCAUCCUCGGAUUUGCAAGAUGCUUUAUUUUGCCAUAUUAGUGAGUUGUCUGGACCCAGCACUUAUUCUGGCAUGUGCAGCCGACACCAAGGAUCCAUUUACCAUGCCCUUGGAGCCGGGAGAAAGAAGAAAAGCUGUUGCCGCAAAACGUGAACUUGCGUCGCUUUAUGGAGGCCACAGUGACCACCUUGCAAUUGUUGCGGCUUUUCAUUAUUGGAAAGAUGCAAAAAGAAAUGGUCAUUCUCAGGAGUUCUGUUCUCAGUACUUCGUCUCUCCAAAUGCCAUGAAGAUGCUGGAUAAUAUGCGUGACAAGCUUCAGGGGGAACUUGAAAGACAUGGGCUCAUUCCUAGAAAUGACUCGAACUGUAAUCUGAAUGCUCACGAUCCAGGCAUUCUCCGUGCUGUUGUAGCAGUGGGAUUGUACCCUAUGGUGGGAAAAAUGUGCCCACCUUCCAUGAAUAAUAAUAGAAGGUCACUAGUAGAGACCAUUACGGGAGCCAAAGUUCGUGUGCUAUCGCUUUCAAACAUGUCCUCUAGGGAGGAGGAUGAAGCUUUAAUUGUUUUUGAUGAGAUCACUCGAGGAGAUUGGGACGUGCACAUAAGAGAAAGCACUACUCUUCGCACUAUACCGUUGUUACUGUUUGCGGGAGAGAUAGCUGUGGCUCCUACAGAGAGCUGUGAUGCUGAUAAGAGUGAUGACGAGAAAGACAACGAAGAAGAAACUGUAGGAGAUGUGAUGGACAUAGACAAAGUAGGUGGUAGGCCUGGAGAUAAAAUAAUGCAUGCACCGGAAAAUUCAGUCAAGGUGGUAGUGGAUCGGUGGCUGCCUUUCGAGAUGACAGCUCUUGAAAUUGCUCAAAUUUACAUCUUGAGAGAGCGACUAGUGGCAUCCAUUUUGUUCAAGGUAAAACAUCCACAAGAAAAUUUGCCGCCUCAUCUCGGAGCUUCUAUGUACGCAAUAGCUUGUAUUCUCUCAUUUGAUGGCCUCUCAAAACCUUCAGUUCCAACUGUUGAUAUGGAGCCUGUUGCUUCAGCGGUAGAUGCAACAGGUCUCGGAGAUGACCCAAACACUGCAAUGGGAGAGAGCUUGUUUUCCAAUCUCGCUGAUGGGAAUGAGCUACUUGACCUAGUCACUGCUCCGACAGAAGCUGAUUCAGCAGUUAAAGAACCAGAGAAGAAGAGAUCAAGGUCCAAAAAGCACAAAUCAGCCAACAUGGAUUCGGUGAACAUGGGAGCUGAUUUAAGCACUGCUUCGGAUGAAGCUGCUUCAGCAGUUGAGGAACCAGUGAAGAAGCGACGGAGGUCCAAAAAGCGGAGAUCAGCCAAAAAUUUGGAUUUGGCUAGUGAGCAACCAGAGCUUAAGCUGGCCAAGGAAUCGGAUUUGGGUAACAUGGAAGAGAGCUUGCCUUCCAAUCCUGUUAAUGGAAAUGAGCUGCCUGACACAAACACUGUUCCGGCUGAAGAUGCUUCAGCAGGUGAAGAACCAGAGAAGAAGCGAUCAAGAAGUUCCAAAAAGCGAAAAUCAGCCAAGAACUUGGAUUUGGGGAACAUGGAAGUGAAAGAGACUUUUGAUCUAGCUAAUAAUGGGAAUGAUCAAACAGAACUUAAGCCAGCCAGCAAGGAGAAAGAGAUCAUCCCUGCGAAUCAUACCAAUGGGAAUGAGCAACCUGACCCUCAAAUGGAAUCUGCUUCAGCGGCUAGUGAACCGGAAAAGAAGCAAUCAAGAUCCAAAAGGCGCAAAUUAGCGAACAGCUCAAGUUCGGGUAAUAACACGGAAGAGAAUGUGCCUUCCACUAAUAAUGGGAAUGAACUUCUAAGCAGUGGUCUUACCGAAGCUGCAUGAAUGGGCAACCUGAUCCAAACUCUGAAGUUGCAUCAGUGUAGAACAACUAAAGGAAGCAAAGCCUAAAGUGUAAGCCAUGGAGUUGGUUUUGACUCGCAAGGACAAAAGGCAGAAGAGAAGUGAGAUGCCCAUUCCACUUUGGUGUUUGAAUGGCCCAUUAUUUAUCUAGAUUUUGAAAUCUCAAAAGGUUUUGUUGUUCACGGUUACUUGUUUGGUUAGAUGUGUUUGUAGGUUCUGCUUCUGAGCCAAUAGAGGAAUGAUCUUGGAGUGGCUUCAUAGUAAACAGAGACCGAGCGCUUAUGAAUCUGACGUGGAACAAGAACAAAGCGUAUUGACACGUGGCACCUUACAAGACCUCAACAACCUUAUCUGGACAUCAAGAGAGAGAUCCUCUAAUAUCCGAAACCAACCAAUCAUCUUCACUUUUGAUGCAUUAUCACACUCGACAAUCCUCAAAAACCACUUUCAUCGCAACUCAGCCAGCCAGAGCUUAGGCGAGAGAGACAGAGACAGAAGAUGGCGUACAGCGCGUGUUUCCUACAUCAGAGCGCACUGGCCUCCUCCGCCGC